rnacentral:lncRNA from 1 species
CCAGCCAGGUUGGAGAAUUGGGCAAGGCACCUAGGAAGUCAGAAGCCUCACACUAAUCUUUAUUAUCUAAGAUGUUUCCUUUUCCUGGCUCCUGUUCCUCAACUGAAGAUUUAGUAUAAUGCCAAGGUUCAUCUGACAGUGUCUGUUUUAUUUACUCAGUUUAGAGUUUAGAUUUCUUUGUGAUAGACGUAGUUGACUCAGCUGCAGCCCUUGUAAGAGGAAGAUGGUUCCUUCUACCUUUUCAUCCAUGAAGUGUCAAGGAGGAGAUGAAUUCAUAGAAAAGGUCCAGAAGCCCAUUUCCUGUGCUCAAAAGCCGCUCCUCCCAGCUGAAGAGAGCCUUGCCAAAUUCUGCAGGGAUUGUAGGAAGUUAAUACUUGAAGGUAUCCUCUUCUCCUCUAUUUAUGCCAAAAUGCAAGCAAAAGCAGUGAAAAUUCUGCUUGUCUUGACCACAGCGGAAAUAUCUUCAGUCAAUCAAACCAUUAACACUAUCUCCUGUUCUUUGAUUCCUAUUUGUAGCCUCCUGUCCCUUUGUUAUAUCUUUCCUAGUGCUGAAGAGAAGCUUCAUCUGCUGCUCCUGCAUCUCUGGAGCUCCUGCUCAAAGACAAAGGCUCCAUGGUUGUUGCUGACUGUCCACUGACUGUGCUGUAUUCUUAGCAUGCUCUUUUCAGUCUCCUGACGCCAGUUUUGUUCUUUUCCUCUAAGCAAACUAGUCAGAUCUUUGUUCAAUGGGAUCUUCCAGAGGGGUUAUCUUCCUGAAAGAUAGGCAUGCAAGAAUAAAAUGUCAUAAUCAUAGAAAGAAAAUAAUGAC